AUGCAGCGCAAAUGGAGAGUUCCAAACAAUGGAAAGAAGUGGCAGGCUUUGGCUGAGUUUGCAGCCAGCCUCAUCCACCCAUCGUACAAGGAAAUGAAGCAGAAGAUCAACAAGAAAUUGGACCACAAACUAUGGGGGGACAGCCCACUGCCAAACAACCUCAUCGAGUACGCAGCGAAAGAUGCGUACGUCACCUACGAGGCAUGGAAGAAAAUCGAAAUCGUCAAAGAAGGUUUGAAGUACUGGCAAGAGGCUGAGGAUCAUUGGGAUGACCCCUACUACUGGGGAUAUUGA
rnacentral:rRNA from 1 species